AGAUACUGUUCAUGCAAUAAUCAAUGAGCUUUAGUUUUUGUAUAUUUGAAUUGGCCUAAGUAUUAUAGUAGUUAAAUAUUUCUUGGCUAAUUAAAGAAACGGAAGAAAUACUUGUACAUGAUGAUAAUGCGUACGGGCGGACAGAUUCAUAUUGUUGACUGUACACUUCUGAUUGUAUAGAAGAUUGAAUAUUUCUAAGAUUUAAUGUUAUGAAUCCUUGAGUUAAAUGGUUCCUUCUCCCUUCUAGGAUUACUUCAUAAGUUUACCAUGGCUUCCAAAAGAUACCAGUUAUCAAGUGGAAUCCUCUUAGAACACGACCACCUAUUUUUCAACCAAGAUGAACUGGGGUCCUAUGUCUUUAGUGGACAACAGAAGGCAAGACUCCAGUAAAUUCAGAUAGAUUGCUACAUGGCUGUUAAUAAUUCAAGUUUGCAAGUAUUAACAUUACAUUAUUAUUCAAAUGGAUGAGCUGAGGUCCCAUUCCUUUAAUGGAGCAGACAAGUGAAUUCAGAUUGAGUUGAAAGUAGCAGUCAAUCCAGUUCUUCAGUUUGAAACUUCAAGAUGGCAAAUAAUCCUCAUGAAAGCAGAGCUUUCAAGUAUUGCUACAUGCGGUGCUUGCAUAUGCAUUGACUGUUCUUGAAAUGCUGAAUGUACUAUACACAUGGUAACUUUAAGAUCUACCAUUUUGUGUUUGGAGAAAUAAAUAUCUCGUGUUUA
rnacentral:lncRNA from 1 species